rnacentral:misc_RNA from 1 species
GAAAUGCGAUAAGUAAUGUGAAUUGCAGAAUUCAGUGAAUCAUCGAAUCUUUGAACGCACCUUGCGCUCCUUGGUAUUCCUUGGAGCAUGCCUGUUUGAGUAUCAUGAAAUCUACAAAGUAAAUCUUUUGUUAACUCAAUUGGUUUCUACUUUGGUAUUGGAGGUCUUUGCAGCUUCACACCUGCUCCUCUUUGUUCAUUAGCUGGAUCUCAGUGUUAUGCUUGGUUCCACUCGGCGUGAUAAGUUAUCUAUCGCUGAGGACACUGUAAAAGGUGGCCAAGGUAAAUGCAGAUGAACCGCUUCUAAUAGUCCAUUGACUUGGACAAUACUUUUAUGAUCUGAUCUCAAAUCAGGUAGGACUACCCGCUGAACUUAAGC